GAUGAAGAACGUAGCGAAAUGCGAUAAGUAAUGUGAAUUGCAGAAUUCAGUGAAUCAUCGAAUCUUUGAACGCACAUUGCGCCCGCCAGUAUUCUGGCGGGCAUGCCUGUCUGAGCGUCAUUUCAACCCUCAUGCCCCUAGGGCGUGGUGUUGGGGAUCGGCCAAAGCCCGCGAGGGACGGCCGGCCCCUAAAUCUAGUGGCGGACCCGUCGUGGCCUCCUCUGCGAAGUAGUGAUAUUCCGCAUCGGAGAGCGAUGAGCCCCUGCCGUUAAACCCCCAACUUUCCAAGGUUGACCUCAGAUCAGGUAGGAAUGCCCGCUGAACUUAAGCAUAUCAAUAAGCGGAGGA
rnacentral:misc_RNA from 1 species